rnacentral:lncRNA from 1 species
UAUGUUGGAAUAUUUUGUUUUAUUUAUGACACAAAAUAUGGAAAUAUUAUGUUGUGUAAAUUUGAAUACUUGAACAAAAACAUCACUCUGGUUUAUUUGGCCCUUGUCAACGGGAUAUAAUAGUUGACUAUUCGGCCCUAUCAACGGGAUAUAAUAGUUGACCUUUACAUUUCAUGGUGGGAAUGUAAUUGAUUUGGAC